GUUGUUGUGUCCAGAAACAAGCUGGCUUUAUAUGCCAUGAGGCUCUCACCGGGGACCUCCAUGCUGGCCUCAUCCAUUACAAUACUCAUAUUGUCAAUGGAAUGCACUAAUCACAGCUGCACGCGCAUGCAUGCUGAUGCCCUCAUGAACUGUGAAUACAUAAAUGUGUGCACGUGCAGACACACACACCGUGUUUCUGGAGCAUCUAGAGAUCUCUGCUUGCAAUUCCGAUAGUUUCUUAUAGCCUAAAGGCUUAAGUGGAGCUUGUCUUGUCCAACCAGUAGCAGAUUAAUAACAUCCUAAACAGCCCAGUGUUACAGGGUGUGGACAGAUGAAGACAACAAACUGCUUUUAUUAUUCAAAGCCUAUUUUGUUGGAGUGCAAUUUCAACACCAUACUAAUUGGAGAAUUGGUUAUUUCUAAAAACUGACUAAGGUGGAGUGAGGGGAAGUGAAGCCACAGGUAGAUUUUCAAAAAAAGAGGGUUUUAUUUACCCAUAAUGAAAAAAUUAAAAGCGUUUUUUCUGGUUUUGUUUAAUGGCAACAUUCUUGCAUAUUUAUAAAAUACUACAAAUUAGACUGUGGCAGGAAUACAAUGAUAAAGUUCUGGACUUAAUUCCAUUGUUGUUUGCUGUUAAUGGUGUUAGGUCUCAGAGUGUCUCAUGGUGCAUGUGAAGUGAGUUUUGUGUCAUAUCAAAAUAUUUCACAAAUGAUAUUAUGACCAUGAUCACUCAAAUUGUUUCCUUACAAAUGUGUUUGGAAGUAUUUAGUUGUGUAGUUGUGAUGUGUGUACGCAUAUCUGCAUCUACAUCCUCAUGUGGCACUUUAAUGGAACAGUGUUGAAGGGUUCUAGCCUGAGGGAUCCAACCCAGCAAAGAGGGCUUUUCCCUAAUAAAGCACAUGACUUAGUCACUUGCCAAUAGGCCAAUUUGCACCCACAACCAGCUCAUUAAUCACAGUGCUCAGGACCACAGGCAGAAAUACCUCAUAUGGUAUUGGAUUCCUGUAUUAAGUAUAACUGAUUGUAUUGAUAUUGUUCUUGUCCAAAGGACCUUUAGUUCAAUGAUGACCUCCCAAAAAUGCUGCCUGUGUGUAAGGACCUUAGCAGCUCAGUGAUGUCAAACACACUUCCAUAAAGCUAAAGCUUUACUGUUAUUUUCAUGAGAGGGUAAUUUCUGUUCUCAAAUUGCAUAUUAUAUUUUGAUAGUUUAAAUCAAAUUAAUUAUAUUGUAAUAUUGGCUUUAGAAGAUGCAGAUGCUAAUGUAAUAACAAAGUGAAUUGCAGUGUGUUAUAGGCAAUUUUGCUUCAUUACAGACUAAUUAUUUAAGAUUAAGAAAAAAGAAAAUAAUCUAAAUGGUAUAUGAAACUGUUCAAGUUAGAGUCAGAGAUAGUAUAAACAGUCAGAUGUUUAUUGAGCUGUAUAUCAUCAAAGCACAGUUUUCAUCAGUUAAGCAUCAUUACACAGGUUCAGGCACAACAC